rnacentral:rRNA from 1 species
CGCGUAGGCGGGCUGUUAAGUCAGGGGUGAAAUCCCGGGGCUCAACCUCGGAAUUGCCUCUGAUACUGGCAGUCUAGAGUCCGUGAGAGGUGAGUGGAACUCCGAGUGUAGAGGUGAAAUUCGUAGAUAUUCGGAAGAACACCAGUGGCGAAGGCGGCUCACUGGCACGGUACUGACGCUGAGGUGCGAAAGCGUGGGGAGCAAACA